AGGUCAUACUUUUAGGCUAUAUAAUGUCUUAGGAAGAGAAUGAACAGGGGAGGUCAUACUUUUAGGCUAUAUAUGUCUUAGGAAGAGAAUGAACAGGGGAGGUCAUACUUUUAGGCUAUAUAUGUCUUAGGAAGAGAAUGAACAGGGGAGGUCAUACUUUUAGGCUAUAUAUGUCUUAGGAAGAGAAUGAAAAGGGAUGUCAUACUUUUACGGUUAUGUGUUAGAAAGAGAAUGAAAGGGGGGGGGGGGGGGGCAUACUUUUAGGGUAUAUAUAUAUGCUAAUUUGUAUGUAUUUGUGGAAACCUGGGAACCUUGUAUUGAGACCAAGCUGAUUAACCUCACCAUGGCCAGGAAAGUCACAGGCUGGUAUUGUCCUUCUUUGCUCAGGGCAGUAUUUUGUGACCUAGGUAAGAUUAGUUAAGUGUUGUGAGAUUUUCAGAGGAAUAAAGUAGCAAGGAAUGUUU